rnacentral:rRNA from 1 species
AUUCCCCUAGUAACUGCGAGUGAAGCGGGAUAAGCUCAAAUUUAAAAUCUGGUGGUCUUUGGCCGCCCGAGUUGUAGUCUGGAGAAGUGCUUUCUGUGCUGGACCGUGUACAAGUCUCUUGGAACAGAGCGUCAUAGAGGGUGAGAAUCCCGUCUUUGACACGGACUACCAGUGCUUUGUGAUGCGCUCUCAAAGAGUCGAGUUGUUUGGGAAUGCAGCUCAAAAUGGGUGGUGAAUUCCAUCUAAAGCUAAAUAUUGGCGAGAGACCGAUAGCGAACAAGUACCGUGAGGGAAAGAUGAAAAGCACUUUGGAAAGAGAGUUAAACAGUACGUGAAAUUGCUGAAAGGGAAACGCUUGAAGUCAGUCGCGUUGUUCAGAACUCAGCCUUGCUUCUGCUUGGUGCAUUUUCUGACUAACGGGCCAGCAUCGAUUCUGACCGUCGGAAAAGGGCCAGAGUAAUGUGGCACCUCCGGGUGUGUUAUAGACUUUGGUCACAUACGGCGGUCGGGAUCGAGGAAUGCAGCGCGCCGCAAGGCAGGGGUUCGCCCACUUUCGCGCUUAGGAUGCUGGCGUAAUGGCUUUAAACGACCCGUCUUGAAACACGGACCAAGGAGUCUAACAUGCCUGCGAGUGUUUGGGUGGAAAACCCGAGCGCGUAAUGAAAGUGAAAGGUGAAAACUUCUGUCUGGAAGGGAUUCAACCCCGGGACUUAACUUUUCUUAAGGAAUCCCCGUAAAACAUGGUUUUUUGGGAACCCAAAGAAUGGGGAACUAUUGCCGAAUUAGGGGGAGGCCGAAGGAAACUUCUGGGGGAAGCUUCGUUGCCGUUCCUUGACGUGGCAAAUUCGGAUUGGUUCAAAUUUGGGGUAAUAGGGGGCGGAAAGGAACUAAUUCGACACCCAUUCUUAGUUAGCUUGGUCUGGCG